rnacentral:rRNA from 1 species
UGAUUGAAACUAAAUCAAUCAUGAGAUCAACUAUGUGAAGCACUGAAAAACUCCGGGGUUUUUGGAAAACAAGCUGAGUAAGCUGCAAUUGUAAUUAAUA